rnacentral:rRNA from 1 species
GACGAACGCUGGCGGCGUGCUUAACACAUGCAAGUCGAGCGGUAAGGCCCCUUCGGGGGUACACGAGCGGCGAACGGGUGAGUAACACGUGAGCAAUCUGCCCUUCACACGGGGAUAACUUCGGGAAACCGGAGCUAAUACCCGAUACGACCACCUCGGGCAUCCGAUGGUGGUGGAAAGCUCCGGCGGUGAAGGAUGAGCUCGCGGCCUAUCAGCUUGUUGGUGGGGUAACGGCCCACCAAGGCAACGACGGGUAGCCGGCCUGAGAGGGUGACCGGCCACACUGGGACUGAGACACGGCCCAGACUCCUACGGGAGGCAGCAGUGGGGAAUAUUGGACAAUGGGCGAAAGCCUGAUCCAGCAACGCCGCGUGAGGGAUGACGGCCUUCGGGUUGUAAACCUCUUUCAGCAGGGACGAAGCGCAAGUGACGGUACCUGCAGAAGAAGCACCGGCCAACUACGUGCCAGCCGCCGCAGUAA